GAGGAGCUGUCCUUAGUACGAGAGGACCGGGAUGGACAUACCUCUGGUGUACCAGUUGUCGUGCCAACGGCAUCGCUGGGUAGCUAUGUAUGGACGGGAUAAGUGCUGAAAGCAUCUAAGCAUGAAGCCCCCCUCAAGAUGAGAUUUCCCAACUUCGGUUAUAAGAUCCCUCAAAGAUGAUGAGGUUAAUAGGUUCGAGGUGGAAGCAUAGUGAUAUGUGGAGCUGACGAAUACUAAUCGAUCGAAGACUUAAUCAAUUUUAAU
rnacentral:rRNA from 1 species